GAUGAACGCUGGCGGCGUGCCUAAUACAUGCAAGUCGAGCGAACGGACGAGAAGCUUGCUUCUCUGAUGUUAGCGGCGGACGGGUGAGUAACACGUGGAUAACGUACCUAUAAGACUGGGAUAACUUCGGGAAACCGGAGCUAAUACCGGAUGAUAUUUUGAACCGCAUGGUUCAAAAGUGAAAGACGGUCUUGCUGUCACUUAUAGAUGGAUCCGCGCUGCAUUAGCUAGUUGGUAAGGUAACGGCUUACCAAGGCAACGAUGCAUAGCCGACCUGAGAGGGUGAUCGGCCACACUGGAACUGAGACACGGUCCAGACUCCUACGGGAGGCAGCAGUAGGGAAUCUUCCGCAAUGGGCGAAAGCCUGACGGAGCAACGCCGCGUGAGUGAUGAAGGUCUUCGGAUCGUAAAACUCUGUUAUUAGGGAAGAACAUAUGUGUAAGUAACUGUGCACAUCUUGACGGUACCUAAUCAGAAAGCCACGGCUAACUACGUG
rnacentral:rRNA from 1 species